AGAUGUGAGGGCAAUCUGGCUGUGACAUCUGUCAUGCCAUUGAUUACCAGCGUUGAUUCUGCUGGUCUGGCUGGCUACGCGUGUGUCCCCUUCCCUCACCACUCCAUGUGUAUCUUUCCUGAAGCUGCACACUCAGUCCAAGAGGAGGACCACCCUGGUAGAGGAGGACUAUUUCCUUGGUCAAGAGUAUAUGAGUAGCUGCACUCCCCUGCUAGAACUUCCAAAAUCUCACUGACAUUUUUUGUUGAUGUUGAAAUAGGAAAAAAAAAAAAAAAAAAAAAAAACCUAAAAUCCUUACGGAAUCUCAAAGGAUUUU
rnacentral:snRNA from 1 species